AACUCGCUCACUCAUGUUUUGCAAUUGUAGAUUAGAUAAUCGAUAAAACAAUGGAUGUUCUUAAUCGUAUAAACAGAGGCAAAGCCUUUUGCCAGUCGUGUGAAUUGCGAUAUGACGACCACCCUAUUUAUAGCGCGGAAGUUAUUAAUAGACAUGACACAUGUUUAUGUAAAGACCAGGAACAACCUGGUGUAGAUCACAUGCACGUCAACCUCCAAGAGUAGACAUGAUCUACAGAAUGCUGGUGGUUCUGCUGGGGCUAUACACAGGUGGGGAUGCUUCGGUACAACAUGCGGCAGGUCAAGGCCCCAGCAAGGGUUCACAAGGGUCAAGUAACCGGAUGUUUGGGAGGUGCAGACGGUGUCGGGUGCGCGAGGUCAACAUGGUGUUCCUGCCUUGCGGUCACAUGGUGUGUUGUGCCGAGUGUAGCGUCAUCUCCAGUACCUGUGACGUAUGUCACGCUCCAAUCAGGGGCAGUGUGAGGACAAGACACGUGAACACGUGAACUCUAAUACGUGAACUCUUAUAAUGUUUUUCAGGUGUUUAAAACAAUGUGAUAUAUAUGUUUUAUUUAAACAAGCAAUGCAUGAAGCAGUGAAUUUACAUUUUUUAACUCAAACGAACGGAAGAUUUCGCAUCACAUGGUCAAUUCUUAGAACUAUUAUGGUUUAAUAUGUUAAAGGCAACGAUCUGAUUAAAGUUCCAUACUACA